UGGGCAACCUGCCCCUCUCUCUGGGAUAACCCCGGGAAACCGGAGCUAAUACCGGAUACUCCGGCUGGAUCGCAUGGUCCGGCUGGGAAAGGUCCGCCGGAGAGGGAUGGGCCCGCGGCCUAUCAGCUUGUUGGUGGGGUAACGGCUCACCAAGGCGACGACGGGUAGCUGGUCUGAGAGGAUGGCCAGCCACAUUGGGACUGAGACACGGCCCAGACUUCUACGGGAGGCA
rnacentral:rRNA from 1 species